GGGUGCGAUCAUACCAGCAUUAAUGCACCAGAUCCCAUCAGAACUCCAAAGUUAAGCGCGCUUGGGCUAGAGUAGUACUGGGAUGGGUGACCUCCUGGGAAGUCCUAGUGGUGCACCCU
rnacentral:rRNA from 1 species